CCUGAUUGGUUCUGGCAGCUAACAGGCAGCAGCUGGUGGCGAUCUCCUUGAUGAGCCACUGGGCUUUAUAAGGCUUCCUCUGAGGACACAACAACGCUGGAACAUAUCAUACACUUGGUUGGACCCCUUGUGGAUUUUACCCCUUGUGGAUUUUUACUGUGUGCUCAUCUGUUCAUACGCCUACCUGCCUGCCUACCUCAACGCCGACCAUCUCCUCAAGAGCCAAAACAAAUAUCAUCUGUAAAUACUCACCUGACUCAUCGUGCACUCCUGGACUUCCCUCUCCUCCAUUCCUCGUGGUCUUCUCCAAUCCUGAAACCCUGGACCUACCCCUUCCCCUUUCACUUGUAAAUAAACAUUCACUAUUUUGUA